rnacentral:rRNA from 1 species
UACGGGGGGGGCAAGCGUUGUUCGGAAUUACUGGGCGUAAAGGGCUCGUAGGCGGCCAACUAAGUCGGAUGUGAAAUCCCCAGGCUCAACCUGGGAACUGCAUCCGAUACUGGAUGGCUUGAAUCCGGGAGAGGGAUGCAGAAUUCCAGGUGUAGCGGUGAAAUGCGUAGAGAUCCGGAGGAACCCCAGAGGCGAAGGCGGCGUUCUGGCUCGCAACUGACGCUCAGACACGACAGCAUGGGGAGCGAACGGG